rnacentral:pre_miRNA from 1 species
AUCACUGAGCCACCUUCCCAGCCCGAUGCUGUUAUUUUUUAAAAAAUAUUUUGGGCUGGGGAGGUGGCUCAGUGGU